GAUUGAACGCUGGCGGCAGGCCUAACACAUGCAAGUCGAACGGUAACAGGAAGCAGCUUGCUGCUUCGCUGACGAGUGGCGGACGGGUGAGUAAUGUCUGGGAAGCUGCCUGAUGGAGGGGGAUAACUACUGGAAACGGUAGCUAAUACCGCAUAAUGUCGCAAGACCAAAGAGGGGGACCUUCGGGCCUCUUGCCAUCGGAUGUGCCCAGAUGGGAUUAGCUUGUUGGUGGGGUAACGGCUCACCAAGGCGACGAUCCCUAGCUGGUCUGAGAGGAUGACCAGCCACACUGGAACUGAGACACGGUCCAGACUCCUACGGGAGGCAGCAGUGGGGAAUAUUGCACAAUGGGCGCAAGCCUGAUGCAGCCAUGCCGCGUGUAUGAAGAAGGCCUUCGGGUUGUAAAGUACUUUCAGCGGGGAGGAAGGGAGUAAAGUUAAUACCUUUGCUCAUUGACGUUACCCGCAGAAGAAGCACCGGCUAACUCCGUG
rnacentral:rRNA from 1 species